UUUCGCAAUGCCCGAAAGGGUGACGAAGCGACGCCGCGUGUGGGAAGAAGGCCUUCGGGUUGUAAACCACUGUCGGGAGUUAGGAAGUGCAGGAGCGUUAAUAGCGUUCUUGCUUGACUAAGGCUCCAGAGGAAGCCACGGCUAACUCUGUGCCAGCAGCCGCGGUAAUACAGAGGCGGCAAGCGUUGUUCGGAAUUAUUGGGCGUAAAGAGCACGUAGGCGGCCUUGCAAGUCAGUUGUGAAAGCCUUCCGCUCAACGGAAGAAUGCCAGCUGAUACUACAGGGCUUGAGUACGGGAGGGGAGAGUGGAACUUCUGGUGGAGCGGUGAAAUGCGUAGAUAUCAGAAGGAACGCCGGCGGCGAAAGCGACUCUCUGGCCCGAAACUGACGCUGAGUGUGCGAAAGCUAGGGGAGCAAACGGGAUUAGAUACCCCGGUAGUCCUAACCGUAAACGAUGGGCACUAAGUAGAGGGGUUUUA
rnacentral:rRNA from 1 species